CAGUAGUAAUAAGGAUAUUGAUAAUCAUAAACUAGCUUUACCAGGAACUUGCAAAAUCCCAGCUCUCUUACCGAGAGUUCUACAUGGGUUAGUUCACGUAGUCUUUCCAACAACCUGUAGGUUCCGUGCUCCUGUCAUUCCUAAUUUGCAGACGAAGAUACCAAGACCCAACCCCAAGAGGCUGAGCACCUCGACUCAGGACCACAGCCACAGUGGAUUGCAGACUUGGCCCCGGGCAGCCUGACUUCUGUAAGUAGUAUUCUCUCCAUUUUUUACCCAGAGAUUUCUAGUUCAGGGUGACUCUGCCUGAGUGGUCAGCCCAACUGCCCAGCUUGUGAAAACUCUUGCAAAUAGGAGUCAGGGCUACGGUGAUAAUUUCCCCUAGUCUCUCUGUCCGGAGCACACUGUCACCAUCCUAGCCAGGUGCGUGGCCAAAGGAAAUGACUCUUCCCUGAUUCUGUGAAUUCCAAAGAAUUCCCAAGCGUGUUUCUCAGCAGGACUGCUUGCUUCCAAGGUGCUCCCAAAAGCCGGCUGCACCUGCUUCCUGGGUAACGCAUCUCCUGGAGCCCAGGUGGGCGUACCCGCUGUGAAGAUGGGGACUUGCUAAGAUGGGGCAUUAUGCCGUGGGGCACAUCUCUGUUGGGGCAUGCAUAGGACUUUCGGGACUGAUUUCUUAAAGCCAUUAACUUGGUGUAGCUACCUUUUCCUGGCUUGCAGGGCUCAUGCCUGCCCUGGACGUGUCUGGGUGGACAGCAUCGGCACCAUCCAGGAACUUGUUGCAGGUACCGAUUCUCAGGCUUUGCCCUAGGUUUGCUGAUUUGUCAACCCUGAGAUAGCGCUCAUUCUACAAACCUUCCAGGUGAUUCUGAUUCAUGCUAGUGUGGCAACGACUGGUCGAAACCCGAGUUUCUUUAUUAAAAUAGUACCCGCCAUCACAGCGGCAGUAGCGAUAGUUAUAAGGCUAAUAUCUGCCUUUUGGGUAUUGGGAGGAUUACGUGAGUCACUCAAGUCCUGGGCCCAGUGCCUGGCAUACAGUAGGCACUUAAUAAAUGGUGGCUGGCAUCAUUCAUCCUCUCUGGACUUGCCCGAGGUUGCUGUGCUGAAUUGCUGUAGUUUUUAUACGCUUUCAGGAUCAGCCCUUCUCUGGCCUGUGGGUCUGGUGGGACCACCAGGCUCAAUUUCCUCCUCCCACCCCCUCCACCAGGGGGGACCCAGGUGUGCACACUGCUCCUGGCCACGGCAUCGUCUUGAGGAUUGGCAGCUGCAGGAGAGAGCCUCAGAGAGGAUCUCUGGAGCAGGUUCUCCCCAGAGUCCCCAGCCCAGGGCUUCUCCACCUGGAGUCUGCUCCUGACUCACGGGGAGGUUUCUGUUGUCCCAGAGACACCUAACAGACAAAGUCAACCAAGAAGCACAACCUAAGCUCGUCCUUGGUGACCAAGUGGGCCGCUUUUUCAAUUCUCAGUCCGGGGUCUGGAUUUUAAGGGUGACAGCUUUCCCAGGGCUUGACGAGGACCCCUCCAGUCGAUGCAGUGUGUGCCGCUUCUCACCUGUCAGAGCUUGGCCAGGAGGCCACGGCCCCUUGCAUGGAUCGCUUCUACCUGCUGGCCCUGAUCUCUCUCGGGCUCCAGUGGACUUUGCUUGACCUGGACCAGCUGAUGAUGGUGCCGACGGUUGCCAGGGAGACCCAGAAGCCAAACAGGUGUGCAGGAGGCCAGCCCGGCCUGGAAGCCCAGGUGUCCUGCCCUACCUGCGGGCCCUGUGCAGUCGGUGAGUCCCCCCCACAAGCAGGGCUGACCUUCAGUGACAUUCGCCAGUGUCAAAGCACUUCCACGGCACGACAGGCAGCUCCUCCUUCUGCCACCUGUGUCCCCACCUCCUGGGGAUCCAGCAUUGAAAAGUGUGAGGGGUCUGGGGCUGCUCCGCUCCCGGUUACGCUCCUCCUCCGUGAUGACAGUUGUUGAACGUGGAAUGUCACUCUGCUGGGAGAGGCUGCCCAGGUUGGGAACAAGGGUGAGUGUGGUGGGGAGUGUCUGGGA